AAGCUUGCUUUCUCCGCCGGCGACCGGCGCACGGGUGAGUAACACGUAUGGAACCUGCCCGCCACAGGGGGAUAACCCGGGGAAACCCGGCCUAAUACCCCAUGCCGCCCGGACCGGGCAUCCGGUCCGGGCGAAAGGAGGAAUCCGGUGGCGGCUGGGCAUGCGGCGCAUUAGCUUGACGGCGGGGUAACGGCCCACCGUGGCGACGAUGCGUAGGGGUUCUGAGAGGAAGGCCCCCCACACUGGAACUGAGACACGGACCAGACUCCUACGGGAGGCAGCAG
rnacentral:rRNA from 1 species